GGAGUUGUAGCUCAGUGGUAGAGCACUUGCCUCGCAACUAUGAGGCACUGGGUUCAAUCCAGCACCA
rnacentral:tRNA from 1 species